AUAUCAAUAAGCGGAGGAAAAGAAACUAACGAGGAUUCCCCUAGUAACUGCGAGUGAAGCGGGAAGAGCUCAAAUUUCGAAUCUGGCGGUCCUCGACCGUCCGAGUUGUAAUCUAGAGAAGCGUCUUCCGCGCCGGACCGUGUACAAGUCUCCUGGAAGGGAGCAUCGUAGAGGGUGACAAUCCCGUCUCUGACACGGACCGCCGGCGCUAUGUGAUGCGCUCUCGACGAGUCGAGUUGUUUGGGAAUGCAGCUCAAAUAGGGUGGUAAACUCCAUCUAAAGCUAAAUACGGGCGAGAGACCGAUAGCGCACAAGUA
rnacentral:rRNA from 1 species